rnacentral:rRNA from 1 species
GCUUACCAUGCAAGUCGAACGAUGUAGCCCAGCUUGCUGGGUGGAUUAGUGGCGAACGGGUGAGUAACACGUGAGUAACCUGCCCCCGACUCUGGGAUAAGCCCGGGAAACUGGGUCUAAUACCGGAUAUGACCUCGCACCGCAUGGUGCGGGGUGGAAAGAUUUAUCGGUGGGGGAUGGACUCGCGGCCUAUCAGCUUGUUGGUGAGGUAAUGGCUCACCAAGGCGACGACGGGUAGCCGGCCUGAGAGGGUGACCGGCCACACUGGGACUGAGACACGGCCCAGACUCCUACGGGAGGCAGCAGUGGGGAAUAUUGCACAAUGGGCGCAAGCCUGAUGCAUCGACGCCGCGUGAGGGAUGACGGCCUUCGGGUUGUAAACCUCUUUCAGUAGGGAAGAAGCGAAAGUGACGGUACCUGCAGAAGAAGCGCCGGCUAACUACGUGCCAGCAGCCGCGGUAAUACGUAGGGCG